rnacentral:rRNA from 1 species
UGGGGAAUAUUGGACAAUGGGCGCAAGCCUGAUCCAGCAAUGCCGCGUGUGUGAAGAAGGCCUUCGGGUUGUAAAGCACUUUUAUCAGGAGCGAAACGCUGUCGGCUAAUACCCGGCGGAACUGACGGUACCUGAGGAAUAAGCACCGGCUAACUUCGUGCCAGCAGCCGCGGUAAUACGAAGGGUGCAAGCGUAUACGAUGAUCUGGGCGUAAAGCGUGCGUAGGCGGUUUCUUAAGUCUGCUGUGAAAUCCCCGGGCUCAACCUGGGAAUGGCAGUGGAUACUGGGAGGCUAGAGUGUCCCAGCCAGGUUGGGUUGGGAAAUUUCCCCGGUGUAGCGGUGAAAUGCGUAGAGAUCGGGAGGAACAUCAGUGGCGAAGGCGGCCACCUGGGACAACACUGACGCUGAGGCACGAAAGCGUGGGGAGCAAACAGGAUUAGAUACCCUGGUAGUCCACGCCCUAAACGAUGCGAACUGGAUGUUGGUCUCAACUCGGAGAUCAGUGUCGAAGCUAACGCGUUAAGUUCGCCGCCUGGGGAGUACGGUCGCAAGACUGAAACUCAAAUGAAUUGAC